AUUGAACGCUGGCGGCAGGCUUAACACAUGCAAGUCGAGCGGAGCGAGGGUGCUUGCACCUUAGCUUAGCGGCGGACGGGUGAGUAAUGCUUAGGAAUCUGCCUAUUAGUGGGGGACAACAUUCCGAAAGGGAUGCUAAUACCGCAUACGCCCUACGGGGGAAAGCAGGGGAUCUUCGGACCUUGCGCUAAUAGAUGAGCCUAAGUCGGAUUAGCUAGUUGGUGGGGUAAAGGCCUACCAAGGCGACGAUCUGUAGCGGGUCUGAGAGGAUGAUCCGCCAAACUGGGACUGAGACACGGGCCAGACUGCUACGGGAGGCAGCAAUGGGGAAUAUUGGACAAUGGGCGGAAGCCUGAUCCAGCCAUGCCGGGUGUGUGAAGAAGGCCUUUUGGUUGUAAAGCACUUUAAGCGAGGAGGAGGCUACUAGUAUUAAUACUACUGGAUAGUGGACGUUACUCGCAGAAUAAGCACCGGCUAACUCUGUGCCAGCAGCCGCCGUAACAC
rnacentral:rRNA from 1 species